rnacentral:rRNA from 1 species
GACAGAGGGUGCAAACGUUGUUCGGAAUUACUGGGCGUAAAGCGCGUGUAGGCGGCCCUGCAAGUCGGAUGUGAAAUCCCACGGCUCAACCGUGGAAGUGCAUUCGAAACUGCAGGGCUAGAGUCCUGGAGAGGAGAGCGGAAUCCCCGGUGUAGAGGUGAAAUUCGUAGAUAUCGGGAGGAACACCAGUGGCGAAGGCGACUUGCUGGGCUUGUGGUGACGCUGAGACGCGAAAGCGUGGGGAGCAAACAGG